rnacentral:rRNA from 1 species
GACGAACGCUGGCGGCGUGCUUAACACAUGCAAGUCGAACGGAAAGGCCCUGCUUUUGUGGGGUGCUCGAGUGGCGAACGGGUGAGUAACACGUGAGUAACCUGCCCUUGACUUUGGGAUAACUUCAGGAAACUGGGGCUAAUACCGGAUAGGAGCUCCUGCUGCAUGGUGGGGGUUGGAAAGUUUCGGCGGUUGGGGAUGGACUCGCGGCUUAUCAGCUUGUUGGUGGGGUAGUGGCUUACCAAGGCUUUGACGGGUAGCCGGUCUGAGAGGGUGACCGGCCACAUUGGGACUGAGAUACGGCCCAGACUCCUACGGGAGGCAGCAGUGGGGAAUAUUGCACAAUGGGCGGAAGCCUGAUGCAGCAACGCCGCGUGCGGGAUGACGGCCCUCGGGUUGUAAACCGCUUUCGCCUGUGACGAAGCGUGAGUGACGGUAAUGGGUAAAGAAGCACCGGCUAACUACGUG